GGAGAGAUGGCUGAGUGGACUAAAGCGGCGGAUUGCUAAUCCGUUGUACAAUUUUUUUGUACCGAGGGUUCGAAUCCCUCUCUUUCCGCCCCCUCGGAUCAUUUGGGACUUUCGAAUUGGAAGGAAUUCUGAC
rnacentral:tRNA from 1 species